GCCUUCGUGAUGUAGUGGUCAACACGCUGGACACGUAAUAGAGAGGUCCAUGGUUCGAUUCCCGGCGAAGGCG
rnacentral:tRNA from 1 species